rnacentral:rRNA from 1 species
UUUGACCUCAAAUCAGGUAGGAUUACCCGCUGAACUUAAGCAUAUCAAUAAGCGGAGGAAA